UACGGGGGAUGCGAGCGUUAUCCGGAUUUAUUGGGUUUAAAGGGUGCGUAGGCGGAUCGUUAAGUCAGUGGUCAAAUUGAGGGGCUCAACCCCUUCCCGCCAUUGAAACUGGCGAUCUUGAGUGGAAGAGAGGUAUGCGGAAUGCGUGGUGUAGCGGUGAAAUGCAUAGAUAUCACGCAGAACCCCGAUUGCGAAGGCAGCAUGCCGGCUUCCGACUGACGCUGAAGCACGAAAGCGUGGGGAUCGAACAGG
rnacentral:rRNA from 1 species